rnacentral:rRNA from 1 species
UGAGGAAUAUUGGUCAAUGGGGGCAACCCUGAACCAGCCAAGUCGCGUGAAGGAUGAAGGUCUUAUGGAUUGUAAACUUCUUUUAUACAGGAAUAAAUUGGGGGACGUGUCCCCUUUUGCAUGUACUGUAUGAAUAAGGAUCGGCUAACUCCGUGCCAGCAGCCGCGGUAAUACGGAGGAUCCGAGCGUUAUCCGGAUUUAUUGGGUUUAAAGGGUGCGCAGGCGGGAUGUUAAGUCGGCGGUGAAAUUUUGCAGCUCAACUGUAAAAGUGCCUUCGAUACUGGCUUCCUUGAGUGUGGAUGAANUCGGCGGGAUUUGUGGUGUAGCUGUGAAAUGCUUAGAUAUCACGAGGAACUCCGAUUGCGCAGGAAGCUUACUAAGCCACAACUGACGCUCAUGCACGAAGGCGUGGGGAUCAAACA